rnacentral:lncRNA from 1 species
UGAAGAUUUGUAUAUUUCAUAUUCCUCAAACAUAAAGACCUAUUAGAAAGACUCUCCAUCUCUGAAGACAACAGAUUAAGGUGGCUUCUGCAGAUAGAGUAGAUUCUAGGACUCUGUUGGCCAUGUUCAACAGAUUUUGGCUCUCAGGGCUAAUCUCUAAAUCCCUUUGGCCAGGUUAAUAUUUCACUCAACCACCCCCAAGAAGGAGGUGAAUGACUUCUGUCUUGUUUGUACAAAUCAAAUGCCCUUAGUUUCCCUGUUUCUAAUAGAGGUUGGUCAAAAAAAAAAACAAAAAACCCCCAAAACUAAUAGAGGUUGGAAUUAUCAAAUCAAUUAUCUCCACCCCUUGUCUAUCCAAAAACUAUAUAAUCAGAAUCAAAGGGUGGGGGAGAUGCCUGAGACCUCUCUACCAGGGAAGAAGCAACUGGAACCCUUCUCUAGACCUGACCAGGAGGUUUCAUUAGGGUCAUCUGCAGCAAUCUCAACAAACAAAGGGGC